GUCCAGAGAUGGGAAUCGAACCCACAAUGUUCCGCUUACCGGGCAGAUGCCAUGUCCACUAGGCUACCCUGGA
rnacentral:tRNA from 1 species